rnacentral:rRNA from 1 species
GAUGAACGCUGGCGGCGUGCCUAAUACAUGCAAGUCGAGCGAACAGACGAGGAGCUUGCUCCUCUGACGUUAGCGGCGGACGGGUGAGUAACACGUGGAUAACCUACCUAUAAGACUGGGAUAACUUCGGGAAACCGGAGCUAAUACCGGAUAAUAUAUUGAACCGCAUGGUUCAAUAGUGAAAGACGGUUUUGCUGUCACUUAUAGAUGGAUCCGCGCCGCAUUAGCUAGUUGGUAAGGUAACGGCUUACCAAGGCAACGAUGCGUAGCCGACCUGAGAGGGUGAUCGGCCACAAUGGAACUGAGACACGGUCCAGACUCCUACGGGAGGCAGCAGUAGGGAAUCUUCCGCAAUGGGCGAAAGCUUGACGGAGCAACGCCGCGUGAGUGAUGAAGGUCUUCGGAUCGUAAAACUCUGUUAUUAGGGAAGAACAAAUGUGUAAGUAACUAUGCACGUCUUGAGGGUACCUAAUCAGAAAGCCACGGCUAACUACGUG